rnacentral:tRNA from 1 species
GCAGUCGUGGCCGAGUGGUUAAGGCGUUGGACUCGAAAUCCAAUGGGAUAUUCCCGCACAGGUUCGAAUCCUGUCGGCUGCG